UAAUGUGCCUUGGGAGCAGGUGAUAGUUGAAUCUCUUCCAAAUUGAAGCCCUGAAAAGGUGACCAGGUGUUCCUGUCACUCUAGGUGGUGUGAGCCCAAGAACAAGGCUGUGAAACUUAAGUGCCCUUCUCAGUGCUGGAGUGUUUGGUGACUAUUUCUCUCUGCUUCAGGGUAGCAUCACAAGCGGAGCACUAGCAAAAUUUUCAACACUAGAUACCUUUAGCCAUUAAGUAGUAGAUGACUGGAAGUGGGCAUCCUGCGACAAGCAAGGGGCACCUCAAUGUGACUGAGUGCAGAUCCAAGUGCAGACAACAGAGAAAUGUCGUGUGGGGUCUUAGUAACUGAAUGCUUUUUACUCUGGGAUGUGUCAAGGGAGCAUACUGGUUGUACUGGAUGUUUCAAAAAGCAACUCUGGGGUACAGCAGGGGAUGGUACUAUUUUAUAAUGCAGAUGUGUCUGAGGUAUCAUCAGCCUUUCAUGUUUGUGAUUAGUUGCAUUUUCAUCUUUGUGUUUUAUCUGGAAAACAGGUAAAAUAGGAAGAGCAGCAAGUUUUAUAUUUCUGUGCUUUCAGCAGUAAAGCAAUACUUUCAAGUCAUUUCCAGAUGGUUUGCACAAAACACCUUCUUUCAGAACUGCAAGUUUUAAUUUUACUGUGUGUAGCUAUUUUUACAGUGCUAACCAGAUCUUAUAAUUUAUAUUUGAAAGGUUGUUCCCUCCCCCAUCAUUUUGCAUGCUUUUCAAAAUGUCUGGUAUGUGGUUAAAAUGGACUCAGACAAUGUUUAAUAGUUUUAUGAAUUAUAGUGUUAUGCAUUGGAGAUUUAAUUCUGAGUGCUUUAGGCAGACCCUCUGUGAUCUGACAUAAUAUUCCUAAGUUAAAGAAUGCAUUUAUUAUACCUUUGUUCAGUUACACAUGAACUAAAAACUAGGAUUAUCAAAUAAAUUCGUUGAUUCUAAUUUAGAUUAUUUUUAGCUUUUCAUUUUAGUACUAUAAAGUGCUAUUUGCAUUUAGUUACUCAUAUAUCUAGUUUGCACUAGAACAGUAUAGGGCAUACUUCUUUGUUAACUUUUUAGAAUUUCUAGUCCCUCUGAAAUGAAUUCAAAUUUCUGGUGCAAGUUGAAGUUACACUUAGAGUGAAGUCGUAAGUCCUUUAAACUAGCAUUAAACAACCAGGAAACAUAGAAUGCUCUUGACAGAGGAGUUGAGGAGACUGUGUUUUGUCCAUGUACCACAUAAAACCACACAGUCAAAUCCAAGACAAAUCAAGGGUAAUGUUCCUAAUGACUUAAUGGGAUCGGGAUUUCACAUUUGUGUAGGUCAAAGUCCCACCAGUAUUAAUGGUGAUACUGUUGGCAAGGCCAAGCUGCUGAAACAAAAAGUUACCCAAAGCAAGACAAAAAUGUCAAGGUCCAUUAUGGCAAACUAGAAAUUAUAUUCUAAAUGAAUUCCAGUAUAUGAAGCAAGUUACUUCAAUAGUAAUUGGUGGAUGUGAUGGGAUAAAUGUAUCCCUGAAUACAAAAUUCACACCUGAUCCUGAGGAAAGCUUGGAUAUUCAGGUUCCACUGUGACUCAGUGCCAGGGAGUACCCCCUGCAAGCUCUCCUGAACAUUGCGUGUCCUGGUGCAGUUAGCAUGUCACAGUUACAAAAGGGUUCUAAUAGCAGAUGUUCUAAUAGGAAAUAUUCAUAGACACAGUCUGGAUGACUGAAUUUCAGCUUGAUUGUGAACUUUGCCUGUCUAAAUUACAGACAAUGGAGUAAUUAUUGGAAUACUUUUUGUAUGCCUUAACAAAGAUGGUAAAAUGUUAUUUUACACGUACCUUUGGCAAGAACUUUUUUUCCUAUUUGUAAUUACACAUAGUCAAAGCAAUUUUCUUGUAUAUCUAUGAUAAUCUAUGAGAAGUUUUAGUAGUAAAGAGAACAUAAUCCCUAAAAUAACCCCCCGUUUUUUUAUGAGGUAUAACUUUGGGGGCCCUUUGAAUCUGCAACAAAGAAAAACAGCUGCUUCGGUUCUAAUCCAUGAACAAGACAAGUCUUAUUUGCUGCUGCAGUUAAUCAGUACAGUGAAUUUGUUUAUCUAACCAUGCAUGGUGAACAAGAGGACCACUAAUGCAGAAAGUUAGUGUUAGUCCAUCAAGACUUUCAGCUCUUAGAAAUGUGUUAUAUGGGCUUCAUAUAAAAUCCUGUUGAUUUGAAAAUGUUCUGUUUGCUAAAUGGGUAGUUUUGUUUUAAUAGCUACAGUAAAAAAAAUAUAUACAUAUUAGUUCAGUUUGCCUUGAGAAAAUUCAUAGUCAUCCACGAACCAUAUGGCUUUCUUACCUCUAGUAAAGAAAUAGCUCUUUGCAUGGCAGAUACAGUAUGUCAACAGCUAUAAUCAAAUAUAAGUAGCAGUGGGCAUGGAUGAAUCAGAAUCUGUUUUAAAGCAGACCUGUUGGAGACCACAACUUCUCAUAUUUCAUUCCGUAUAUAUCUCCAUUAUAGAAUUAUAUUUCCCGGAACAGAUUAUAGUUCACCACAUCUACUUUCUGUUGGAGAGGCCAAAAUGAUUCAUUAAAGUAAAAUAAGUACUCUUCCCAUGAUAUUUAUUUAGGAAAUGUCAAGUAGCAGUUUAUUCAUUUAGUACAUGCUCAGUUAUGAUGAGAGGAUGGAAAUCAUUGCAGUUAGAUUUCUCAAUCAGUGUUUCCACGCAUGCAUAUAUAUUUGGUCUCACUUUGCUUUUAUCUGUUUCUCACUGUACUUUCUUAAAUACUUCUUUUGUGCAUAAAAUUUACUUAUCUUCCAUGCAUUUUCAUUCCACAUUUGUCACAUUUCUCUGUCCUUGCUAGUUUUGAAAAUGAUCAGCAAAUAGCUUCCAAUAUGGCAUUGGCCGUAAGCCCUCUAAAUUUUUUUCUGAUUCUAUAAGUAUGUAUUCUUAUGAUCUAAAAAGACUUUCUUUCCACUUUUGAUAGUAAAAUUACAUCAGCAGUUAGCAGACAUACAUGAGGUAUACCAUGGAUGAAGGCUUUCAUCUCACAAGGGGAAUCAGUGUCUGUUAUCUUCAGUAGAUGCUGCAACCACUGUGUGUAGAUAAAGCAGAUAAAUUGACAGUAAUGGAACAUGUCAAAAAUAUGAUCAAAUGCAUACAUAAAUCCAACAAAACAGAAAUCAGUAGUUUAGAGAUUCAGACUGUACAUAUGCACAAAUAGCAGAAAGAGCUAAAGUAUAAACCAGAGCUUUCUAUAUCUCCCUGUCUUGGGUCCUUCAUAGCUACUUCUUCUCCACUCAAAAUCCUUCCACCACUCUCAAUUUUGCAUCUUCCAUCUUAAAUAUUCUCUUCAAAAAGUGAAUUUGUUAUGUCAGAGGAACGAAGAGCAUCUUAGGGUUGUCAGAUUGACCUGAGCUCAGUCUGAACACAAAAAGUUCUUGCAAGUCAAAGUUUAUUCUAGGAAAUGUAAAAUCUUAAUAAUGAUGUUGAAAGCAGUUAGGGAAGUGUAAAACUAAAACACCAAAGUUAGGGAGAAAUUGAACACCACUCUUGUGUAGUGGUCAUUUAAGGUGUUUCUGAUACAUAUUUCAUCUUGGAAGCUGAGAGGCUGCUCAAGCAGUGUUCAACCUCUGAAGUGCUGCCUUUCAGAGGGAACAGCUCCUCUGCAUUGCCCUGGAGGGGCAGCAGGUCAGUACUGAGAAUAACAAUUCAAAAUAUUUUUUAUUAUCUUUCUUCUUUAAUUUAGGGGAUACUGUAUUUUCAAUAAUCCCUAAGGUGUGGGGAGAAUGCAAAUUAAUUGUUUAAGCUUGUCCGGAAUCUAAUUUCCCUUAGCAUGCCAGGUUUUUCUAAUGCAUUGAUUUCCUACAUGAAAUUUAUUUUUCUGCACUGGAGGUCAACUGCAUUAGUUCCCUCUGAUUCUUUACUUCUUGACAGUAUGACUUGUAAUGUGAAACUUUUAAAUACCUUAAUAAUGUUAUGCAAAUUACAUACCAUAAGAUAUCUCCAAAGGCUCCAGCAAUUCUCCUUCUUUCGUAACCUGAUAGACUGGUGACUUUUCAUAGAAAACAUACACGAUAUUAUUAAUGAUGUGGAUAAUCAACUUAGCCUUAGCCUUAAAGGAAACUUUGUCCAAACCAUUUCAUUCUUUUGUGGUCAUUUUUAGAGUUCAUGCAGCUGCAGAAAUAUAGAAGAAGGCUAUUGUAUUAUUAUGUGCUUUAUUGGCAAUGAGGAGUAGAACAAACUUCCCAGCUUUCACACCUGCCCUCCAGUUUCACAAGUAGCCUAUAAAAAUAACCAGAACAAAUAGCUUCAAUUGCCACAAGUGGGAGGUUAUUUUUUAACCUCUUUUUUUCUCCCCCUGAAUGGCAGACAGCAGUGAGAGAAUCUCAAGUAGUUACUAUUCCUUUUAUUUCUUAUAAGAAUAAAACCCAGAGGAUCUUCCACCUUCACUUUCCUUAUUGAUUUACGACUUAAUGAGUCAUUGGGAUGUAAAGCUACAGAGCAUAAACGUUCUUAUUCUAUCGAAUUUGUCUAAACAGAGUCCAAGUAAGAUAAAAGACAACGCUUUUGCUUCAUUCAUGCAGAGUGAAAUUCUUUCCAAAGAGCAUCAGUGUAAGGCGACCUUUAUCCUCUGUGCAACAGCAGAUUUCACAUAAAUGAACAAAUAUAUUCUUUAGUUUUAGAGUUUGAUAACAAUUAUCUUCCCUGAUGAGCAGAAAGGAGGACAAAGCUUGCUUUUAUUCCUUUGAUUUACUUCCCUUGAUAGUGCAGUGUUUCAAAUCCUGCGUAGUUGAAGCUACAAGAAGAAUCUGGGCCUUUUUUUGAUGCUAGAAAAGGAAAUGAAAAAGCACAACCAAAUGUCUUGAAAAGACUGUGUCUGUCUGAAUUCUUUUUCAUACCUUUAACCAGGCUUCCUCAUGAUUAUGCAAUGUAGGGGAAGUAGUAUGUAGACUUAAUAAUAUUAAUUUUUUUUAAUUGGGCUGUGAAAACCAUCACAGCAAGAAGAUGUUGUGUAUCAGUAAGAACUAUUAAUAUCCUCUAGCUGGGAAGACGAUGGGCUCCCAUUCAUAAGAAUGACAUGAACUUCACCUUCCCUCUGGAGGAGACUUCAAGCCCUUCUGAUGUUUCCAGCCCUUUCUGGCUGCAGGACAUGAAACUGAUCUUUUCUUUGAUGGCAACUUGUGGCUUUGUUAUGCAGCAUCUGGCCUGGUUUUUGGCUAUUUUGGUAUUAUCCAUGCCAUAAUGUUUUACUUAAAGAGCACAAGAAGCAAAGUAUUCUUGGCAGCCAGGCUCUUCCUGUGUGAAUUCGCUUCUGAAAGACAUCAAUGUGAUUCUUAGUCUUGCUGCUUUCUUUUUUUUUUGAGCAAAACAUAAAAACUUGCAGCCUUGUCCACCCUUCGUAAAUAUGUCCAGCUUUUGUAAUCACUACCACUGGUGAAAUAUCAUCUGAAAGAUUUGCAAGAACUACAAAAAUAAACAACAAUGUAUAUGCAUGGAAGAUGUCUCCAUUAGGAAGGAAUGAUGGGUAUAUUGAAAUAUUCUUCCACAAAAACUUCUCAGUGGAUUUCCUUUAAAACUGUGUCCAUGAAAAUUUACUUGAUCUGUCCAGUACUACUGUUUCUUUGGCUGUGGCUAUUAAUCCUGUGUAGUUUGAUCUAGAGGAUUUCCUGAUAUUCUUUUUAAUUGAUUGAUUUUUUCAUGUAUUGUUUUAACACAAAUCUGUUUCAACCUAUAUACCUUCUAGAAAAAUUGAUUGUAUAUAUAAGCAACAACUUGUGAUUACACCCAAGCAUUUAUAUAUGUUCCACAAAGGAGAAUGGAGAAAGAGGUAAGAUUGCAGACCAAACAGUAACUUUUUUCAUUAGUAUCCUUAGAUUUCACAGAAAUUUUAAGAGUAAUUUAAAUAUUUCCACUGGAAAAAAAAA